AACGCUGGCGGCGUGGAUAAGACAUGCAAGUCGAACGGGGAAUUUGAAAAGCUUGCUUUUUAAAUUCCUAGUGGCGGACGGGUGCGUAACACGUGAGCAACCUGCCCAAAAGAGGGGGAUAGCCCGAGGAAACUCGGAUUAAUACCGCGUAUGGUCCGGAAAGGCAUCUUUCCAGGAUUAAAGGUGGGGAUCCGCAAGGACCUGCCGCUUUUGGAUGGGCUCGCGGCCUAUCAGCUUGUUGGUGAGGUAAAGGCUCACCAAGGCUACGACGGGUAACUGGUCUGAGAGGACGAUCAGUCACACUGGAACUGAGACACGGUCCAGACACCUACGGGUGGCAGCAGUCGAGAAUCAUUCGCAAUGGGCGAAAGCCUGACGGUGCGACGCCGCGUGGAGGAUGAAGGCCCUAGGGUCGUAAACUCCUGUCAUUCAGCAGAGUAAUGCUUUCCAAUUAACAGUCGGAAAGUUUGAUAGUAUCUGAAG
rnacentral:rRNA from 2 species